GACGAACCGUGCAAACGUUGUUCGGAAUCACUGGGCUUAAAGGGCGCGUAGGCGGCCCGCGAGGUCGGGGGUGAAAUCCCACCGCUCAACGGUGGAAGGGCCUCCGAUACCGGCGGGCUGGAGGAAGGUAGGGGUGCGCGGAACUUCUGGUGGAGCGGUGAAAUGCGUUGAUAUCAGAAGGAACGCCGGCGGCGAAAGCGGCGCACUGGACCUUUUCUGACGCUGAGGCGCGAAAGCCAGGGGAGCAAACGGG
rnacentral:rRNA from 1 species